rnacentral:rRNA from 1 species
CCUACGGGUGGCAGCAGUGAGGAAUAUUGGUCAAUGGCCGGAAGGCUGAACCAGCCACGCCGCGUGAAGGUCAGUGCCCUAUGGGCGUUAAACUUCUUUUGUGCGGGAGCAAUAAUGGUCACGUGUGGCCAGACGAGAGUACCGUACGAAUAAGCAUCGGCUAACUCCGUGCCAGCAGCCGCGGUAAUACGGGGGGUGCAAGCGUUAUCCGGAUUUAUUGGGUUUAAAGGGUGCGUAGGCUGUGAGGUAAGUCAGCGGGGAAAUGCCCCCGCUCAACGGGGUGAAGUGCCAUUGAUACUGCCUUGCUGGAAUGCGGAUGCCGUGGGAGGAAUGUGUGGUGUAGCGGUGAAAUGCAUAGAUAUCACACAGAACACCGAUUGCGAAGGCAUCUCACGAAUCCGCGAUUGACGCUGAUGCACGAAAGCGUGGGUAUCAAACAGGAUUAGAUACCCCAGUAGUC